GAUGAACGCUGGCGGCGUGCUUAACACAUGCAAGUCGAACGAGAAAUGGAGACGGAAACCUUCGGGCGGAAGGCUUCAUUUCGAGUGGCGGACGGGUGAGUAACGCGUGGGUAACCUGCCUCAUACAGGGGGAUAACAGUUGGAAACGACUGUUAAUACCGCAUAAGACCACAGCACCGCAUGGUGCGGGGGUAAAAACUCCGGUGGUAUGAGAUGGACCCGCGUUCGAUUAGCCAGUUGGCGGGGUAACGGCCCACCAAAGCGACGAUCGAUAGCCGAUCUGAGAGGAUGGCCGGACACAUUGGGACUGGGACACGGCCCAAAAUCCUACGGGAGGCAGCAGUGGGGAAUAUUGCACAAUGGGGGAAACCCUGAUGCAGCGACGCCGCGUGAGUGAAGAAGUACUUCGGUAUGUAAAGCUCUAUCAGCAGGGAAGAAAAUGACGGUACCUGAGUAAGAAGCCCCGGCUAACUACGUG
rnacentral:rRNA from 1 species